rnacentral:tRNA from 1 species
GGAGUUGUGGCUCAGUGGCAGAGCGCUUGCCUAGCAUGUGUGAGGCACUGGGUUCAAUUCUCAGCACCA